GAUGAACGCUGGCGGCGUGCCUAAUACAUGCAAGUCGAGCGAACGGACGAGAAGCUUGCUUCUCUGAUGUUAGCGGCGGACGGGUGAGUAACACGUGGAUAACCUACCUAUAAGACUGGGAUAACUUCGGGAAACCGGAGCUAAUACCGGAUAAUAUUUUGAACCGCAUGGUUCAAAAGUGAAAGACGGUCUUGCUGUCACUUAUAGAUGGAUCCGCGCUGCAUUAGCUAGUUGGUAAGGUAACGGCUUACCAAGGCAACGAUGCAUAGCCGACCUGAGAGGGUGAUCGGCCACACUAGAACUGAGACACGGUCCAGACUCCUACGGGAGGCAGCAGUAGGGAAUCUUCCGCAAUGGGCGAAAGCCUGACGGAGCAACGCCGCGUGAGUGAUGAAGGUCUUCGGAUCGUAAAAUUCUGUUAUUAGGGAAGAACAUAUGUGUAAGUAACUGUGCACAUCUUGACGGUACCUAAUCAGAAAGCCACGGCUAACUACGUG
rnacentral:rRNA from 1 species